AUACGGAGGGUGCGAGCGUUAAUCGGAAUUACUGGGCGUAAAGCGUACGUAGGCGGUUGGUUAAGUUAGAUGUGAAAGCCCCGGGCUUAACCUGGGAACUGCAUUUAAAACUGGCGAACUAGAGUUGAGUAGAGGGGAGUGGAAUUUCGGGUGUAGCGGUGAAAUGCGUAGAGAUCUGAAGGAACACCAGUGGCGAAGGCGACUCCCUGGACUCGAACUGACGCUGAGGUACGAAAGCGUGGGUAGCAAACGGGAUUAGAAACCCCAGUAGUCC
rnacentral:rRNA from 1 species